rnacentral:rRNA from 1 species
AGUCAUAUGCUUGUCUCAAAAACUCUUUCAUGCAUGUCUAAUUAUAACCAAAUUAUAUUGCGAGACUGCGGACGGCUCAUUAAAACAGUCACAAUCUAUUCAAUGAUUCUACUACACGGAUAACCGUAGUAACACUAAAGCUAAUACGUGCUUAAACCUGAGGCUCUGCUUCGGGGCAUUUAUUAAACCAAACACCAAUAGGCUCUGCCUUUCGGUGAAUCAUAGUACCUUCGCGAAUCGGCGCAAGCCAACAAAUCGUUCGAAUUUCUGCCCUAUCAGCUCUCAAAGGUAGGAUAAAGGCCUACCUUGGCUUUAACGGGUGACGGAAAAUUAGGUUUCGAUUCCGGAAAGGGAGCCUGAAAAACGGCUACCACUUCUAUGGAUGGCAGCAGGCGCGCAAAUUACCCAAUCCCAGCUCGGGGAGGUAGGGACAAGAAAUAACAAUAAACAACUAAAUAUGGUUGUCUAUUUGGAAUGAGAACAAAUAAAUC